rnacentral:misc_RNA from 1 species
UAAUUUUUUUUAUUUUUUUAAUUCAUUAAUAUUCUUAAAAUAAUUAAAGAAAAAAUCUGAAGUGCUUCUGUGGCUUACCAAAUUGAGCUUAAGUCAGAGAUAUCUGAAUAUUGUGGAACAAGACAACUCUUUAUGAUGGUGGGUCUUUGUGUUUUUUCCUUACGUGGACCAAGACAAUUUUCCAGUUUUGCAAAACCUUCUCAUGGAGGUUCCCACGGUUCCCAAGCUUCCUUGGAUAAGCAAUGAAAACAAGAAAGCUUCUCACAUAGAAGCUUCUUCGUUGGGAUGUGUUGGCUAACCAGCAAAGCGAUCAUCUGAAAUGGUUCUAGAUGCACGAGGUAGGCCAGCGAGGGACCAGUGGCUGUCACUUGCCUCGCCAUAGUCAGGUGCGACAGCAUCAAGGCCAAGCAUUGGCCAGCAGAUGCAGAGCCAGCAUCCACAAUCUCCACAUCAGUGUCUGCAUGAGUGACCAUGUCAGUGGAUGCUGAAAUAGAAACACCCCAUUAAGACAAAUUCAGAUAAGUAAAUAAUCGGGCUCCAAAUCUUUCUGGUUAAGUAGAUAAUAUCCGUAUUAGAUGGUUUUAUGUAUUAAGUAUUCAUUAUUU